rnacentral:rRNA from 1 species
CCUACGGGUGGCAGCAGUGAGGAAUAUUGGUCAAUGGACGAGAGUCUGAACCAGCCAAGUAGCGUGAAGGAUGACUGCCCUAUGGGUUGUAAACUUCUUUUAUAUGGGAAUAAAAUGUUCCACGUGUGGGAUUUUGUAUGUACCAUAUGAAUAAGGAUCGGCUAACUCCGUGCCAGCAGCCGAGGUAAUACGGAGGAUCCGAGCGUUAUCCGGAUUUAUUGGGUUUAAAGGGAGCGUAGGUGGAUUGUUAAGUCAGUUGUGAAAGUUUGCGGCUCAACCGUAAAAUUGCAGUUGAAACUGGCAGGCUUGAGUACAGUAGAGGUGGGCGGAAUUCGUGGUGUAGCGGUGAAAUGCUUAGAUAUCGCGAAGAACUCCGAUUGCGAAGGCAGCUCACUGGACUGCAACUGACACUGAGGCUCGAAAGUGUGGGUAUCAAACAGGAUUAGAUACCCCAGUAGUC